CUACAUUUAGGCGAGGGCGCUGCUGUAUCGCACACUAUUCGACAACAAUUACUCUCUUCACUCAGUGAUGUAGAGUUUAGUGAUUGCAGUCAUUUGUAUCACUUACAGCGAUCUAUUUUUAUCGUAUAGUGUUGAGUCUUCCAAUCGCUUUCUCUGUAUAUCAUCGCCUCAUGCGUUCUGUGUUUGGAAAUCGGCGCGCGUCACUAGAGCAGGAGCUCAUGUCAUCUUCUCAGCUCCUGCUUCUGCUGCUGUUGUCUCACUCUCAUGGACCAUCACAUCCAGACAGCUGCUGGACCCUCUGUAGCCCUGUCAACGUCGCGUCUGUGUGUCGAUAGGAAAGACAGCCUAAGAUGAAUGCCAGUGACAAAAUUGAAGCCCCCAUCCACAAGAAAAACACCCUGCUGUCCAUUGUCACCGACUUCUCAGAACAAAAACCAGGGAAAUAGCAACAGAAAAAAAAGUCCACAAGGGAAUGAAAGCUAUGUUGAACAGUUGUUAAAAGUAAGAGCUGUUCAAACUGUUCAGGCUUCACUCUUAAUCCAUCUUCAGAACAGUUUCAAAGUCUUCUGAAGCACAGCGCGUCCUUGAUGUGUGAACAUAAGAGAUGUGAAAAGCAGGACACACUUGUUCACACAGGAUCAGCCGAUCAGCAGGACCCCUGGGAGACUAAUAAUGACAGCAGACUGAUGGUGACAACAACAAGCUGAGCUUCACAGGUCACAGAUCAGAACAGUGUGUGACAGCUGAUCUGAGGGUGGCUGUCUCUGUGUCAGCGAUGCAGCUAUGUGACCAUGAAGACACCGUCUCUGCCACCGGACUGUCCACUGCUGCAGUGGUGGCAAUAGUGUGCAACAUCCUGGUAGCUCUGCUCAUACUAGUUCUCAUAUUAAUCCUCUGCAAAGCAUGCAAGGUUCCCUCCAGCCAGGAGAGCGUCCCGGUGUUGACUUUAGAGAACGCACAGCAGAGCAAUGAGCAGAGGUACUUGCUGACGGCAUGAAGGAAAGAAAAAAACUGGAAACAGAAUGUGUUUACAUUGUGUAUAAUCAUC
rnacentral:lncRNA from 1 species